UACGUAGGGGGCUAGCGUUGCUCGGAAUUACUGGGCGUAAAGCGUGCGUAGGCGGGAGUUUAAGUGAGUUGUGAAACCGUGUGGCUCAACCAUAUCGUUGCAACUCAUACUGGGCACCUAGAGUACGGCAGAGGCAAGUGGAACUCGUAGUGUAGCAGUGAAAUGCGUAGAUAUUACGAAGAACACCAAUGGCGAAGGCAGCUUGCUGGGCCGACACUGACGCUGAUGCACGAAAGCUAGGGGAGCAAACAGG
rnacentral:rRNA from 1 species